CCGGCCAAUGGGCGAUCCGCGCGCGCGGACCCGGAUCAGGAAACGCGCGGGGGGCGUGAUGGAUGCCGCUAUCCACCCGGGCGGGAGGAGCGAGCAGGGGCUUGGGUUCCUCGGCCCCCCAACUUGGAUUCCGGCUGAGAAAUCGGUGCCUGUUAGGCUAUGGGUCCUUUCGAGCCCUCUUCCUGCCCAAGUCUGUCCUAGGCCUUGGGGCAGCUGGUCUCCAGGGCUCAGCGCUGACUUCCUGUCCAUCCAGGCCUCGGAGGCAGAAUUUGUACAGCAUUUCAUUUACGAUUUGGAACUUCCCAUAUUGCAGUUGAUGGAGGGGCAGACAAGAGCUAAACAUGCCUCCUUUACCAGGCGCUGUUGUGAGACCUCCACCCUAGAAUGGGGAUGCACAAAACCCGGCUUGAAUCCAGUAACUUCGCAUUACAGAACAAACUCCAAACAAAAACAAGCUUGAGAUAGAAUAAGACCCUUGCGGGGUCUGAUCGUCCAUCGGCCUUUUCUAACCUUUUUUUCCCUCCUCCUCCUUUUGGAUGCUGUUUUCUCAGGCUGUAUCAGCGGCGAGGGCUAAAUUUACAGGACAGCCUGUAAUCCCUGAAUUGCUGAAAAUUAGCAUAUUAACGAUAUCAGUAGCUCCGGAAAGGAGAGAGAGGGGACUGUUGUCUGCCAUUUGGUAAUUGAAAUUUGAUGGGUAAACUAAUUAUGCCAUUAUUAACAAAUAAAUUACUUAUUAAUUCCA